rnacentral:rRNA from 1 species
AUUGGAAACGAUGGCUAAUACCGCAUGAUGCCUACGGGCCAAAGAGGGGGACCUUCGGGCCUCUCGCGUCAGGAUAUGCCUAGGUGGGAUUAGCUAGUUGGUGAGGUAAGGGCUCACCAAGGCGACGAUCCCUAGCUGGUCUGAGAGGAUGAUCAGCCACACUGGAACUGAGACACGGUCCAGACUCCUACGGGAGGCAGCAG